AUGUUGUAUCACGGCCAGGGUCUGUAUCGUACCCAAUGGAAGUAUUAAUUCCAAUGCAUCUGUCCAUAGACGGAAACUUCGAAAGCGACGGAUUAUUUCAGAAUUAUACACCAAAUACAGUUCAGGUACACGUUUCUACCGACUAUUCAAAACUCCAAAACAAGAUUUGUUACUCACACAACGAUCCACACAUGAAAACGUUUGAUGGCCUGAUGGAUUUUGUACCAUAGACGCAAUAUGCUACAAUGAAAACGACGAGUAUGGAUGUAUGCGAUGCGAAAGGAUGGG